rnacentral:lncRNA from 1 species
UACUUUUUGGUGGGAUUUUGUUUUGUUUUGUUUUGUUUUGAGACAGAGUCUCGCUCUGUCUCCCAGGCUGGAGUACAAUGGCACGAUCUUGGCUCACUGCAACCUCUGCCUUCUAGGUUCAAGUGAUUUUUCUGCUUCAGCCUCCCAAGUAGCUGGGAUUACAGGCAUGCACCAGCACGCCCGGCUAAUUUUUUGUAUUUUUAGUAGAGAUGGGAUUUCACCAUAUUGGCCAGGCUAGUCUUGAACCUACCAUGUUGGUACUGGUUUUAUAAACUUCUUAAUAAUAAUAUGACUGGUACUGAUUUUUUUUAAUCUGAAGUAUAUUUGUUUGGCUCUCUAUUCGUCAUUA